GAGAAAAAAAAAGCAGCCAGUCAAUAAAUUGGGCAAUAAAUUUAUGUUUUCUGGUGACUGGAAAAUUAGUCAUUUCAAAAAUCUCCCAACGGAACUUGUGCCAUCACCUAGGAACCACAGUCUGUCACCUAGCAACCGAAGUCGAGCUCCAGCACAUUUGAUCAGCUGUGAUGUUACGAGGCACAGUGGUGCGAGUCAUGUAUAUAGCCCUGAUACACAGUACAAGGGCUGCGCAUAUAGCAGCCCUUGUACUGUAUGUGCUGUACAAGGGCUGCUGGACAAAUGUUUUGCUGAAAAACAUUUGUAUUAUGUCAUUCAGUCAUUGUAUUCUUGUUGGUUGUGCAGGAGGCUCCACUUCUGCUUUUCUAAGAGGUGUGGUUGUAUAAUAGCACAUCUGUUUGAAGCCAUUUUCACAUGCAAGUGUAAACGUGAAGUUGGAGGGCGUGGCCAGCAGCAGUUUACUUGGAUUUAAAGUAACAAGACGCCCUAAAAUAGGAGUUCGAAAUAGGCAGAACUGAGCAGACUAAAAUCUCCUUAUCCAAGAAUGAUUUUGAGCAAAGAAUAAUGCAACAAGUUUUAUAUA